rnacentral:lncRNA from 1 species
AGCGGGCCACGCGCUGGCAAGGCCGCGGCCGUAGCUGCGCAGGAGCUCCGGCAUCUUGAGUGCGCGGCGGCUGUCCAGGAGGAGCUCGAGGCCGGUGGCAGCAGCAAGGCGCGUGCGGUGAGGGUCAGUAAGCUCGUGCGCCAUGCUAAGAGCCAGCAAAGCAUUUCCCAGGCUGACUUGACCUCGUUGGCUUCCGAAUCGAAACUAACCACCGGCCAAUUUGAGAUCAGCAAAUCUUUCUUCCUACCGCUAGAUAGCUCAUGUCUCGAUGGAUAGUCUUGUUGGUUGAACGAAGAAGAGAGAAAAUAGGAGGCAAGCG